CCUACGGGAGGCUGCAGUGAGGAAUAUUGGUCAAUGGGCGGGAGCCUGAACCAGCCAAGCCGCGUGAAGGAAGAAGGCGCCAGGCGUCGUAAACUUCUUUUGUCGGGGAACAAAGGGCGCCACGCGUGGCGUUGUGAGUGUACCCGAAGAAAAAGCAUCGGCUAACUCCGUGCCAGCAGCCGCGGUAAUACGGAGGAUGCGAGCGUUAUCCGGAUUUAUUGGGUUUAAGGGGUGCGUAGGCGGUCCGGAAAGUUCGCGGGAAAAGCCCGGGGCUCAACCCCGACGAGCCGUUGAAACUGUCAGACUAGAGACGGCGAGAGGUACGCGGAAUGCGUGGUGUAGUGGUGAAAUGCAUAGAUAUCGCGCAGAACUCCGAUUGCGAAGGCAGCGUACCGGCGCCGGACUGACGCUGAGGCACGAAAGCGUGGGUAUCGAACAGGAUUAGAUACCCGAGUAGUC
rnacentral:rRNA from 1 species